UACCGGUCAUUCUGAUAUUAAUGCUCGCUAUGGGAACACAGGAUGGCCGGGCAGUGAUAGUUGUACAUUUCCAUCACUCGUUGUGUUGAUUUCAUCAUGUCCAUUAGGUGAUGUUUUUACACUAUAGAAUCAUAUUGCAAGUGCGCGCGCAUUUGCAAUAUGUUUCAAUGUGCAUUUACCAUAUGAAAUUUGACAUGCUCAAAAAUGCAAAAUUGACUGGUCUGAUGGACACAGGAUGGCCGAGCAGUGAUAGUUGUACAUUUCCAUCACUCGUUGUGUUGAUUUCAUCAUGUCCAUUAGGUGAUGUUUUUUCACUAUAGAAUCAUAUUGCAAAUGCACGUGCAUUGUUGUGCAACUGGUAACCCAAAAAUAAAAAUAUGCUUGUAAAUGCAU